CAACUUCAUUAUGCCGUCGGAACUAUCCUCAUAGUCUGGUGGGCUGGUGGUGUAUUUGGGAAUGCGACCCUUUUCGCCGUCUUCGCCAGAUACCGGCAGCUGUGUAGUCCUGUCAAUGUGCUGCUACUAAGUCUGGGGCUAGCGAAUCUUGGAAUGACUGUAUGCUGUAUUCCUCUCUCAACCACAUCAAAUUUCAUCCAGAUAUGGAUCUUUCGGUGGGAAGGCUGCAAAUUCUAUGGCUUUUUCUUUAUGUUCUUUGGUUUAAGUAUCAUCGGCAAUACCGUCAUACUAGCAGUUAGUCGAUAUCUUAUCGUCUGUCG